rnacentral:siRNA from 1 species
AGGGAUACUGGGACUUGCUGGCGG